AGUGAACGCUGGCGGUAGGCCUAACACAUGCAAGUCGAACGGCAGCACAGUAAGAGCUUGCUCUUACGGGUGGCGAGUGGCGGACGGGUGAGGAAUACAUCGGAAUCUACUUUUUCGUGGGGGAUAACGUAGGGAAACUUACGCUAAUACCGCAUACGACCUACGGGUGAAAGCAGGGGAUCUUCGGACCUUGCGCGAUUGAAUGAGCCGAUGUCGGAUUAGCUAGUUGGCGGGGUAAAGGCCCACCAAGGCGACGAUCCGUAGCUGGUCAGAGAGGAUGAUCAGCCACACUGGAACUGGGACACGGUCCAUACUCCUACGGGACGCAGCAGUGGGGAAUAUUGGACAGUGGGCGCAAGCCUGAUCCAGCCAUACCGCGUGUGUGAAGAAGGCCUCCGGGUUGUAAAGCCCUUUUGUUGGGAAAGAAAAGCAGCAGGUUAAUACCCCGCUGUUCUGACGGUACCCAAAGAAUAAGCACCGGCUAACUUCGUG
rnacentral:rRNA from 1 species